GUACCUGGAGAAAGGACACACACUUUUGAGGACAAGGUCAGGGGAUAAGACUUCUUUGAACACCACAAAGGACCAUCCAGUCUCACCUUGGCCUGAUCCUGAGCAUCCUUCCUCCUUGCCCAGAUCACCACCAGCACGUAGGCCACGCAGAGACAGCCCACAGUGGUCACGACCACAGGGUUGUCCUCGAAGGUGGCAAAGAGCUGCCUGGUCUGGCGGACAUCUAUGGCAUUGGGCAUCACCAAGAAUGUGCUUCCAAAGAAGGUAUUUGAUCUCUAGGAAGCAUCUUGCACUGAAAAUUCUUUCUCAACUCCUGCCUCUAGAGAACCCAACUCAUAACAUCUCUGCAGUAAUCCUGGCAGCUCCCUCCUACCAGUCAAGGCACAUGCUCGCUGCUGAGCAGUUGUGUCUGACCUGCUUAUGCCCAAGUCCCUUGUGCUCGUGACUGUAAAGGUCAAUUUUAAUCAUGUAUUUCACACAGUGGCAAAGUAGGAGUGUGGAAAGAAUGAUUUGCAUAAAAACUUAAGUUGAAUGUUUUGAGAAGAUAAUAAAGAUGAGUUGCUAAAAAUUGUUAUUGAAUUAGUCAUUGAUGCAAAAACCAUAAGGGAUUAGAAAAAAAUCAUUAAACUCUCCAAAGAAUCUGAACUCAUGUGGCACUGUGGUGUGCUUACAUCUUUCAUUAACUGUAAAGAAAAUCUAUCUGGACCUUUCAGAGGCUGUGUUAUGUAAUGAAGAUGAUUAAAAUUCUAACAACAGAUUUAAAGAAACUUUUUAGUUGUAUACCCAAAAUUUAUACUGAUGUACUUUUAUAGUUUUCAGUUAAAAUACAAUGUUUAAGAUAGGAUCAUUUUUUUAUAAUUCUCCUCCUUAAUGUGUAUUCUU